AUUUUAUUUUGUCGAUAUACAAUGAGGUUGAUUAUUGUGGUUUUGAUGUAGGUGAGUUCAGGACUCAAAAAUCCUCCUGCCCUCUACUUUGGAACAAGAAGGGAACCAGGAAAUUGAUAUUUUGAUAUAAAGUCAAAUUAGGAGCUAUUCCUUCAUACUGUAACAGGGAGAUAUGAGAAAACCCUGAUUGGAGAGAAUUUCCUAGUUGUCUGCACCUAUCCUUAGUUGAACUGUUUAGCAGUGACAGCUUACUUGAUUAUGAUCAAAUUUGGCAUUAUACAAGCAUGUUUCUCUCUCUUGGCAGGUCGUCUUGAGGAAUAGUUGCAUUUGGAAACUGUGUGAAGAGAUUGUGUUUUUGAAUUCUUUGAAAAUCUGGGAGGGUAAUCACUUUGAUCAGUUUGAAGAAGGACACUUGGAAAUUGAACAAGCAUCACUCGACAAGCCUAUAGAAUCGAAUAUUGGACACUGCUGACUCCAGAAACAUGGGUGGAAGCUGGGCCAGGGAUUUGGAAAAUCUCUUCAGGGUAAGUUUUAAAAAUUUACCAAAAAGAAAAGAAAGAAAACAGUGUUUUUGAUGCAGAUCUUAUACCUGAAAAUAUUUGCUGUCUUUUUAAAAAAGUGUUUGGGUUUUUUCCCCCUACAGUUCCCCCCAGAAUAAUCUAUUUUUCCUAUAACUGUAUGUUAAGUCACUGUUAAGCCUCCAUAUUUGCCAGUAAUUUGCGAGAGUAACUGCUGUGUUAUUAAAACUUUCAGUCAGACAUAUUGUGUAUAGCUCAACCUGUUUUAAUUUUUUUUUUGGUAGAGGUGAUGGGUGGGUGGAAUAAAAGGAGUGCCACAGUG